UACGUAGGGUGCGAGCGUUGUCCGGAAUUAUUGGGCGUAAAGAGCUCGUAGGCGGUCCGUCACGUCGGAUGUGAAAUUCCAGGGCUCAACCCUGGACCUGCAUUCGAUACGGGCGGACUAGAGUUCGGUAGGGAAGACUGGAAUUCCUGGUGUAGCGGUGAAAUGCGCAGAUAUCAGGAGGAACACCGGUGGCGAAGGCGGGUCUCUGGGCCGAUACUGACGCUGAGGAGCGAAAGCGUGGGGAGCGAACAGG
rnacentral:rRNA from 1 species